rnacentral:rRNA from 1 species
UACGAAGGGGGGCUAGCGUUGCUCGGAAUCACUGGGCGUAAAGGGUGCGUAGGCGGGUUUUUAAGUCAGGGGUGAAAUCCUGGAGCUCAACUCCAGAACUGCCUUUGAUACUGAAGAUCUCGAGUCCGGGAGAGGUGAGUGGGAACUGCGAGUGUAGAGGUGAAAUUCGUAGAUAUUCGCAAAGAACACCAGUGGCGAAGGCGGCUCACUGGCCCGGUACUGACGCUGAGGCACGAAAGCGUAGGGAGCAAACAGGGA